UUUUGAUCAAUGAGUUGAAGGUUGAUAAGUUAGUAUUGAUUAGGGAGACUUAAUCUUCCUUGAUCCAAAUCUAAUUCAUCUUGAUCAAUUGAUCAAGUGAAUGGGUUUGUAUUAAGGAUAGGGUGUUUCCUAAAUCAUGCAAAAGGCUUAAACCAAUACAAGAUCAAUUCCCUUCUUCUUUUUGGCAUGGCAAGUUGUUGGAACUUGGUUCAUUAAUCAAGACUUCU
rnacentral:lncRNA from 1 species